rnacentral:rRNA from 1 species
UACCUACGGGGGGCAGCAGUGGGGAAUAUUGGACAAUGGGCGAAAGCCUGAUCCAGCAAUGCCGCGUGAGUGAUGAAGGCCUUAGGGUUGUAAAGCUCUUUUACCCGGGAUGAUAAUGACAGUACCGGGAGAAUAAGCCCCGGCUAACUCCGUGCCAGCAGCCGCGGUAAUACGGAGGGGGCUAGCGUUGUUCGGAAUUACUGGGCGUAAAGCGCACGUAGGCGGCCUUUUAAGUCAGGGGUGAAAUCCCGGGGCUCAACCCCGGAACUGCCCUUGAAACUGGGAGGCUAGAAUCUUGGAGAGGCGAGUGGAAUUCCGAGUGUAGAGGUGAAAUUCGUAGAUAUUCGGAAGAACACCAGUGGCGAAGGCGACUCGCUGGACAAGUAUUGACGCUGAGGUGCGAAAGCGUGGGGAGCAAACAGGAUUAGAUACCCUUGUAGUCUCC